AUGAAGGGGACAGAAGGCGAAGGAGGUGGAGGAUACCGGCUUAAGCUGUGGUACACGGGGACAAAUACAAACAGAAAUGGAGUAAUCAUCUUGAUCAACAAGAGCCUCAAGUAUGGAGUGGUAGACAUCAAGACGCAAGGAGACCGGAUUAUCCUGGUCAAGCUGGUAGCUGGGGACUUAGUUCUCAAUGUUAUCAGCACGUAUGCCCCGCAAAUAGGCCACAAUGGGAACACCAAGAGGGAGUUUUGGGAAGGCCUCGAGGAUAUGGUUAGGAGCGUAACUAUUGGCGAGAAGCUCUUCAUAGGAGGAGACCUCAAUGGCCACAUGGGUACAUCUAACACAGGUUUUGAAGGGGUACAUGGGGGCUUUGGCUAUGGCAUCAGGAAUCAAGGAGAAGAUGUCUUAAGUUUCGCUCGAACCUACGACAUGAUCGUAGCUAACACCCACUUUAAAAAGAGUCGCAUCUAG
rnacentral:rRNA from 1 species